ACAACGGAGAGUUUGAUCCUGGCUCAGGACGAACGCUGGCGGCGUGCUUAACACAUGCAAGUCUACGAGAAAGUGUCUUUCGGGAUGCAAGUAAAGUGGCGCACGGGUGAGUAACACGUAAGCAAUCUACCCUUAGGUUUGGAAUAACUCCGAGAAAUCGGGGCUAAUACCAAAUGAUGCAGCGAUACCACAUGGUAAUGCUGUUAAAGUCUAUACGGCGCCUAAUGACGAGCUUGCGUCUGAUUAGCUUGUUGGUAAGGUAAUGGCUUACCAAGGCAACGAUCAGUAGCUGGUCUGAGAGGAUGAUCAGUCACACUGGAACUGAGACACGGUCCAGACUCCUACGGGAGGCAGCAGUGAGGAAUAUUGGGCAAUGGGCGAAAGCCUGACCCAGCAACGCCGCGUGGAGGAUGAAUGUCGUAAGAUUGUAAAC
rnacentral:rRNA from 1 species